CCAGAGAACUUUCCAGAGAUGGAUUGGUGCCUUCGGGAACUCUGAGACAGGUGCUGCAUGGCUGUCGUCAGCUCGUGUUGUGAAAUGUUGGGUUAAGUCCCGCAACGAGCGCAACCCUUAUCCUUUGUUGCCAGCGGUCCGGCCGGGAACUCAAAGGAGACUGCCAGUGAUAAACUGGAGGAAGGUGGGGAUGACGUCAAGUCAUCAUGGCCCUUACGAGUAGGGCUACACACGUGCUACAAUGGCGCAUACAAAGAGAAGCGACCUCGCGAGAGCAAGCGGACCUCAUAAAGUGCGUCGUAGUCCGGAUUGGAGUCUGCAACUCGACUCCAUGAAGUCGGAAUCGCUAGUAAUCGUGGAUCAGAAUGCCACGGUGAAUACGUUCCCGGGCCUUGUACACACCGCCCGUCACACCAUGGGAGUGGGUUGCAAAAGAAGUAGGUAGCUUAACCUUCGGGAGGGCGCUUACCACUUUGUGAUUCAUGACUGGGGUGAAGUCGUAACAAGGUAAGCGUAGUGCU
rnacentral:rRNA from 1 species